GAUGAACGCUAGCGACAGGCCUAAACAUGCAAGGUCGAGGGGCAGCACAUGAGUAGCAAUACGAUGGUGGCGACCGGCGCACGGGUGAGUAACACGUAUGCAACCUACCUGUAAGAGGGGAAUAACCCGGAGAAAUUCGGACUAACACCGCAUAAUACUGCGAAGCUGCAUGGCUUUGCAGUUAAAUAUUUAUAGCUUACAGAUGGGCAUGCGUAACAUUAGAUAGUUGGUGAGGUAACGGCUCACCAAGUCAACGAUGUUUAGGGGUUCUGAGAGGAAGGUCCCCCACACUGGUACUGAGACACGGACCAGACUCCUACGGGAGGCAGCAGUGAGGAAUAUUGGUCAAUGGGCGAGAGCCUGAACCAGCCAAGUCGCGUGAAGGAAGAAGGUUCUAUGGAUUGUAAACUUCUUUUGUAAGGGAAUAAAAAGAGUUACGUGUAACUUAUUGUAUGUACUUUACGAAUAAGGAUCGGCUAACUCCGUG
rnacentral:rRNA from 1 species